rnacentral:lncRNA from 1 species
CCCUUCCUCCCUCUCUUCUCUUCCAUGCCCAAGAGUUGGGCGUCCCACUUUCCACAUGCCAAAAGUCUAAGGUGAUUUUUCUUUAAGAGCAAAGAAUGAGGAGAAGAAGAAGAAGGCUACAGAUCAAAGAGUUGAUCUCACAGUCUAGACCAAAGAGUUGAUCAAAGUUAUAAGGUUGAGAUUCUACUUGAAGAAAAAGAAUCUACUAUGAGAAGAUCAGUUCGAGAUUGAUCUUAAUGGAUAUCCAUAGAGGUCGG